rnacentral:lncRNA from 1 species
CAGAAAUCACCCACCUCCUGCAUUGAUCUCGCUAGGAGCUGCAGACCAGAGCUGUUCCUACUCAGCCAUUUUGUUUUUGUAGGUCAAGAAUUCAGGCACAGUUCAUCUAGGUGGGUCCUCUGCCUCAGAGUCUUCAUGAGACUGUUAUUACGGUGUCAGCCCAGGCUGCAGUCAUCUUAACAUUCAACUGAAGUAGCAUCCACUUCCAAUUUCACUCCAUGGUUGCUAGCAUGAUACAGUUUCUCACAAGCUACUGGACUGAGAACCUCACUUUGUUGCUGGCUGUUUGCAAGAGGCUUUCCUGACUCAUCAACAAAGUAUAUGGUCAACGUUUUAUGUGUUCCCCAAUUUGAAAGGUAAUUGUCAAUGCAACUGGACAUCUGCUGCCUUAAUUUAG